rnacentral:rRNA from 1 species
GGGCCCGCACAAGCGGUGGAUUAUGUGGUUUAAUUCGAUGAUACGCGAGGAACCUUACCAAGACUUAAAUGGGAAAUGACAGGUUUAGAAAUAGACCCUUCUUCGGACAUUUUUCAAGGUGCUGCAUGGUUGUCGUCAGCUCGUGCCGUGAGGUGUUAGGUUAAGUCCUGCAACGAGCGCAACCCCUGUCACUAGUUGCUAACAUUCAGUUGAGGACUCUAGUGAGACUGCCUACGCAAGUAGAGAGGAAGGUGGGGAUGACGUCAAAUCAUCACGGCCCUUACGUCUUGGGCCACACACGUAAUACAAUGGCCGGUACAGAGGGCAGCUACACAGCGAUGUGAUGCAAAUCUCGAAAGCCGGUCUCAGUUCGGAUUGGAGUCUGCAACUCGACUCUAUGAAGCUGGAAUCGCUAGUAAUCGCGCAUCAGCCAUGGCGCGGUGAAUACGUUCCCGGGCCUU